GCAUCUUAUUUGUUUUUCUAGGUAUUGGAAGAAAUCUCAUGUUACCCUGAGAAUAAUGAUGCGAAGGAACUAAAGCGUAUUUUAACACAACCUCAUUUCAUGGCCUUACUUCAGACUCACGACGUAGUGGCACAUGAAGUUUACAGUGAUGAAGCAUUAAGGGUCACACCUCCCCCGACUUCCCCGUAUUUAAACGGUGAUUCUCCAGAAAGUGCAAAUGGAGACAUGGAUAUGGAGAAUGUGACCAGAGUUCGGCUAGUACAGUUCCAAAAGAACACAGAUGAGCCAAUGGGAAUCACUUUGA